CGUAAACCUGAAACUGGUAUAUUCAUCUCAUCAUAUAUGACAAGUGGAAUUGUGAUUUGAUUUGAAUGCAAAAUAUGGUGAAAAAACAACGAUCUGUUGAGGACUCUUCAAAUCGAUCAUCUGCGAGCGAAACUUUGGCUCGAAGAUGGGCUGGAUUCUCGCUUCGUGGGGAAAAUCAUUUCGUAGAGUCGAAAAAGGAAACUUAUUCACUCCUCUGUUUGUCGAUCAAUCAUCCUUUACGUAAAUAUUCCCUGCGUCUCGUCAAUUCAAAACUUUUCGAAUAUUUUAUCUUACUAACAAUUGCAGCCAACUGUGUAGUUUUGUCAUUAGACUCUCCUCAUCCUGCUGGAGAUUCUACAGAUUUGAACAGACAAUUGGAGGAAAGCGAAUAUUACUUUGUCGCCAUUUACGGUUUUGAAGCGAUCGUAAAAAUCCUAGCUAUGGGGUUUAUAUUUCAUCCUGAAUCCUAUCUUAGAAACGGAUGGAAUAUUUUGGAUUUUGUUGUCGUUGUAGUCGGAUUUGUCGGGAUGAUUCCGGAAUUGAGUCAAGAAACUCGAGACAACUCCGAAGGCAUAAAAGCUCUUAGAGCCAUACGUGUUUUAAGACCACUUAAGUUGGUGUCUGGUAUACCAAGUUUACAAGUAGUAAUGAGGUCGAUCGUUCGUGCUGUGAAGCCAUUGAUGCAAAUUUUAUUUUUGAUAUUGUUCAUAAUAGUUAUUUAUGCCAUCAUUGGUCUAGAAUUGCUCGUUGGUCGUUUUCACAAAACCUGUCGGGUUGUCGAAACUGGCGAGAUCGGCGAUUCUCUGCUAUCUAGUAGGCCUUGUGGGGAUAAAGGUGGACGAGUGUGUGACAACGGGACAAUAUGUAAAGAUCUUUACAGAACGUCCAAGUGGUCUGGACCUAAUUAUGGCAUAACUUCGUUUGACAACAUUUUCUUGGCAAUGUUGACAGUAUUUCAAUGUGUUACAAUGGAGGGCUGGACAGACAUCAUGUACAUUAGUUUUGAUGCCAGAGAAUAUAAUUAUGGCAUCGUAACCUCUAUCUUAUAUACAUCUUUACUGAUUAUUGGCUCAUUUUUUAUGCUCAACUUGAUACUUGGUGUUCUUAGCGGUGAGUUUGCAAAGGAACGAGAAAGAGUAGAAAAUCGUCGCUCAUUCUUUAAAUUUCGUCGGCAGCAGCAAAUGGAGCGACUCGUCUCUGGUUAUACAGAAUGGAUCAUGAAAGCUGAGGAAAUUAUUAUUAAAGAAGAGCAAAAUGAAGACGAGAGACAAGCUCAGGCUGCUCGAAGGAUUCAGGAGCAAAUGCAGCACAAACGACACAGUUUAUCGGAGUCUUUUAUGAAUCUCAUUGACGGAAACAGAGAUUUACUCAAUCAUCUCAAAAAUUGUCGAAAAGAUGCGCAGUCAUCGACAGACAGUACAGAAACGUUACGUAAGCUGAAGAAAAAGAUCAAGAAAUGUCGAGUUUAUGUACGUCAAGUUGUACGUAGUACUCUUUUCUAUUGGAUUGUUGUUAUGUGUGUGUUUCUCAACACGUUGAUAAUCGCUCUGGAGCAUCAUGGGCAGUCAGAGGCUCUUACCGAGUUUCAAAAUACGUGUGAAAUUGUUUUUUUGGUGAUAUUCAUAACUGAGAUGCUUUUUAAGAUGUUUGGUUUGGGUCUUCAUACGUAUUUUUCAUCUGCCUUUAAUUGGUUCGAUUUCAUCGUGGUCUUGUGUGGUCUAGUGGAAAUGAUCAUUAAAGAAGUCGGAGGUGUCAGUCUUGGUAUUAGUGUGUUGAGAAGCUUACGACUGUUAAGGAUCUUCAAAAUGACAAGAUUUUGGAAGUCGCUGCGAAAUCUUGUAACGUCGUUGCUCAACAGUGUUCGUUCAAUACUCAGUCUUAUAUUUCUUCUUCUCUUGUUCAUUUUUAUCUUUGCUCUACUUGGAAUGCAACUUUUUGGUGCAAAAUUCAACAACAAACAAGAUCCUCCAAGGACAAAUUUUGAUAAUUUCAUACAAGCUAUGCUGGCUGUUUUUCAGAUGCUUUCUGGGGAAGAUUGGAACACAGUUAUGUACGAGGGGAUUAUGGCAAGUGGUGGUCCAUAUACAAUAACUGGAAUGCUUUCCUCUUUGUAUUUUAUUGGUCUUGUCAUCUUAGGAAAUUACACACUACUCAAUGUGUUUCUUGCAAUAGCAGUGGAUAACCUUGCUACAGCACAAGCACUUACUAGAGACGAAGAGCGAGAACAGAAAGCUCGUGAGCUGGCAAAGAAACGCAUCAAAGAGAAGCGGCAACGGGGAUGGAUGAAGGCGAAAAAGCAAUUACCCGUCGUUCUUACUUUCAAAAAUCUUUCGAAUUUUCGAAGCUCUAGGCCGUCUGAUCAACAGCGAAAAGGAAAUGGGAAUUCAAUUGAGGAGCCUGUACCACAAGAAUCGCCAACACAAGAGACAUCGCUUGAUGAGGUGGCAAUACAACUCGAAGGCAUAUCCGAGAAUAGAGUACUUUCAGGGAUGUAUGAGAUCACAGAUGGGAACAGAGAAAAUGUUCAAAGUGAAGGCAAUAAUGAUAUGACACCAAAAGUUAGUUUUGCUGACAUUUUUCAACAAAUAAAGGACAAAGAUGUGCAACAGAGACAAUUGGAGAUAAACGAAGGGUCGGUUGCUGUGAAUAAAGUAGAAAACAGAUUUAUCGAAGAAGGCAUAAAUCAACAUGGUUUGUCAAAGUCUCUUCGGCAUCCUGAGAAGAUUAUCGGUCGUCGUUUAUUUCGCAGGAAAGUUCCCAUCAUUCGAAAAAAUUCUCUUGUUAUACUCUCUCCUGAAAAUCCUCUUCGAAAGUUUUGUCAUUGGAUUGUAAACCUUCAACAUUUUGAUAAUUUCAUUCUUGUGUUGAUCGCCAUCAGUAGUUUGUCAUUAGCCAUUGAAGAUCCUGUAAAACCUUACCAUGAAUCUAGCAGAAACAAGGUUUUGUCGUGGUUUGAUUGGUUUUUCACGAUCGUGUUUGCUUUUGAAGUGAUCAUCAAGAUCAUAGAUGUCGGUGCCUUUCUUCAUAAAGGAUCGUAUUUUCGGGAUCCUUGGAACGUUAUAGAUACUGUUGUCGUUUGUGCUAACAUCGCCACUUUGGUGUUAAGAUCAUCAAGUUCAGAAAUAAUUCCGAGUGGCAAGGACAUUUUAAAAUUACUUCGUGUUCUCCGAGUUCUUCGUCCCAUUAAAGCCAUAAACAAGUCCACAAAAUUGAAGACCGUGUUUCAAUGUAUGGUGUACUCUUUAAAGAACGUCAUCAACAUUAUUUUGAUCACGUUGCUUUUCCUAUUUAUCUUUGCUGUCAUUGGAGUUCAGCUGUUUCAGGGUAAAUUGUUUUAUUGUACUGAUCCAUCAAAGAGAACAAAAGAUACGUGCAAAGGCAAAUUCUUCAGUUAUUAUCGACCGGUUCAACAUGAAAACUUUGUAUCGUAUCGCGUUGAGACUCGUGAAUGGAAGAAUCGUGUCUUCAAUUUUGACUCUCUUCCUCAUGCAAUGUUGACGUUGUUUUCAUCAUUGACUGGCGAAGGUUGGCCAGCAACCAUGUAUCACACGAUUGAUGCGACUGAGCUAAACAUGGGUCCAAUUCUUAACAACAACAUUCACAUGUCAAUUUUUUAUGUUUGUUUUGUGGUCAUGUUUUCGUUUUUCUUCAUCAAUAUCUUCGUUGCUUUGAUCAUUGUGACGUUUCAAGAGUCCGGAGAGCGCAAUAUAGUGCCGUGUGGUCUGGAUAGAAACCAACGUGCUUGUGUUCAAUUUGUUAUCAACGCGAAACCCCGUCAGCGUUUUAUGCCCGAGGAUGAAAAGACAAUUUCUUUUAAGAUAUGGCUUCUUGUUGAGUCACAACAAUUUGAAAUAAUCAUAAUGGCGUUCAUUGCUUUAAAUGCCAUCGUCCUCAUGAUGUCAUAUCAUGGUAUGAGUGACGUGUAUCACAAUACGUUGCUCUAUUUAAAUACUGGAUUUACUAUGAUCUUCACGGUUGAGGCUAUGUUGAAGUUGAUUGCAUUAAAAAAGAAUUAUUUUCGUGAUGGCUGGAACGUGUUUGAUUUUAUUAUUGUUGUCAUCACAUUUUCAGGAGUGAUCUUAAGUUUUGUGAGGGUAAGACAUAACGUGUUUACUUUCACGUUUUCCCACCCCCAUUAUCGUGUAUUGUUAACCUUUUCUCGUUUUUUGCAAGAAAAUUUUUCGAAUACUAUAACAGUAAAAGAUUUACAAAGGCUCAUAUUUCUCCACGAACGAAAAACAUUAAAAUCAUGCUCAUCAUCCUUUCUGUCGCAGGAUACCCAAGACAUUCCUAUAGAUCCAACUUUCUUCCGUUUAUUUCGUGCUGCCAGACUUAUCAAACUCAUUCGUCAAGGCUACACCAUUCGCAUGCUUCUGUGGACUUUCUUUCAAUCAUUGAAAGCCUUGCCGUAUGUUGUAACUUUGAUGGCCAUCUUGUUUUUCAUUUAUGCCGUAGUUGGAAUGCAGCUAUUUGGAAGAAUAGAACUGGAUGAUGCCACAAAUAUAAAGCAUCACAAUAAUUUUCAAACUUUCCCGCGAGCAUUGCAAGCUUUAUUUAGAGCGGCGACUGGUGAAAGUUGGCAUCUUGUAAUGAAGGAUUGUUUUGACCACGCAUUGUGUGACAGUGACGCUGGUCUAAAACCGGGGGCUCAUUGUGGAAACACAGCAGCAUCUAUAAUCUAUUUCUGUUCCUUCUAUUUCCUUUGUUCUUUCUUGAUGUUGAAUCUGUUCGUUGCUGUAAUUUUGGACAAUUUUGAGUAUUUAACUCGUGACGAGUCCAUUUUAGGCCCACAUCAUUUGGACGAGUUCUUGAGGGUAUGGUCCGAGUACGACCCUUCUGCCACUGGUCGGAUAACACAAAAGAAUGUUUAUCGUUUGAUGUGUGACAUGUCUCCUCCUGUUGGCUUUGGGCGAAAGUGUCCAAAAUUUCUUGCAUAUAAACGUCUCAUCAAAAUGAACAUGCCCAUUAUGGGUGAUGGAACUGUCUUGUUCACUUCCACUUUAUUUGCUUUGAUCCGGACUGCACUCCGAAUCUAUAACAGUGGCGAACCAUCACGACGUGAUGACGAACUUCGACGAGUUAUAAAGAGGUUGUGGCCGAAAAUCUCUGUAAAGAUUUUGAAUCGAAUGAUACCACGUGAUUCAGGUUUUGAAGCACUUCUUUUUUAUUUUAUUCUGUUUACGAGUUCAUUCAAUGAAACUAUGGAACAUUCAUUACAGUUUAAGCUCACAACAAUUAACAAUUGGCAAAGUUUACUGCGCGAAAUUAAUUUACGAAAAUUUCAAAAAUCGUAAAAGGAAAGAGAGAGAGAUGGCGAGUUUAAAUUAUGAGCAAAAAAGAGACAACCUUCUCUUUUUCGUCGUUUAAUGGGGGCGUUAAGAACGACAGGAUCUGUUACUGAAGAAGAAGGAACUGGAAAGUUGGAUUACCUUGAGCCACCAGAAAUGCCAUAUUUGAAUCGAAGACGUCGAUCACAAACAUUAAAUACUCCACCUCUUGCUUUGAGGGAAAAAGUUAACAACUCGGUAAAAAUGAGCAAGAAUAAAUCAAUGAGAUUUUUUCGUAAGUCUCACAAGAAAAGAAUCUCUGAUCAUCAAUCAACGGCAAGCCCUUCUGUUGUGUCAUUUAUUGAGGAAAUUCCAAUGAAUGUUACCAAAAUAAAUCCCACAAUUCAAAACGCUGACAGCGGUUGUCAAUCGUCAUCAAAACCAAGAGCUUUUACAUUUGAUAAUCAUGCCAUGAGUAUCGACGAUGAGAACUAUGUAUCCAAUCUUCAAAAGAAUACAAGCAAUUACCGUGGAACAUGGCCUUCUCUUACUCCCGCGCUCGUAAUACUCCAGGUUCCCACUAUAGAGCGAACUCCACAUCCACCGACACCGCCUGCAUUAGACCCCUCUUUUCCCGACGUUAUACGAUCAGCUGAAGCCAGUCCCAGACCUUCGUUAUCUUCAUUUAUACAAGAUUCAACUCUUAUAAGGGAAUUAAACGAGAAAAUUGCAGAAGCUGUGAGCAGAGGUCAAAGUCCGUAUUCUCUGUAUGCCAUUAAAGAUGGAGAUGAAACUAGCUGGUGUUAAUGAUGAAUGCAGCAAGUGAUCCACAGUUUCUUCCUUUAAGGUAUCUUGGAAUAAAUAAACCUGUUCAGCGGCAUUUCUGUCCAGCGGCAAUUUUCAUGUUUCAACAAUUUUCAAUUCCCUAAACUCUUUUCAUUAAUUCAUUUGCUGGACGAAAGGACAAUCUAGCAUUUCGAUUUGUACAUAUUUACACUGUCAAUAAAACUUCGGAAAAAAUAUACAAUUUACAAUUAAAAA